AGGGAAACCGAGUCUUAAUAGGGCGACUAGUUGCAUGCCGUAGACCCGAAACCGGGUGACCUAUCCAUGGCCAGGUUGAAGCGAGGGUAAAACCUCGUGGAGGACCGAACCACGUUGCUGUUGAAAAAGCAUGGGAUGAGCUGUGGAUAGCGGAGAAAUUCCAAUCGAACUCGGAGAUAGCUGGUUCUCCCCGAAAUAGCUUUAGGGCUAGCGUCGGAUAUGUGUAGUGGAGGUAGAGCACUGAAUGGGCUAGGGGGCAUAUCGCUUACCGAACCUUAUCAAACUCCGAAUGCCAUAUACAUUUAGUCCGGCAGUCAGACUACGAAUGAUAAGAUCCGUGGUCAAAAGGGAAACAGCCCAGAUCGUCAGCUAAGGUCCCAAAGUGUAAGUUAAGUGGAAAAGGAUGUGGGAUUUCUAAGACAACUAGGAUGUUGGCUUAGAAGCAGCCAUCAUUUAAAGAGUGCGUAAUAGCUCACUAGUCGAGUGAUUCUGCGCCGAAAAUGUACCGGGGCUAAACACACCACCGAAACUACGGGUGCCACGUAAGUGGCGCGAUAGGAGAGCGUUCUAAGGGCGAUGAAGUCAGACCGUGAGGACUGGUGGAGCGCUUAGAAGUGAGAAUGCCGGUAUGAGUAGCGAAAGACAGGUGAGAAUCCUGUCCACCGUAUGACUAAGGUUUCCUGGGGAAGGCUCGUCCUCCCAGGGUUAGUCGGGACCUAAGGCGAGGCCGUAAGGCGUAGUCGAUGGACAGCAGUUCAAUAUUCCUGCACCGGCUUGGGGUUAGUUGACCGUGACGCGGUGAGAAAGGUGGCUAAGUCAUCGAAAGACAGAGCCUAGACUUCGGUCGAAGCGUACCACUGGACGAUCCGCCGAGAAAAGCGAGUUAACAUGUGCCCCAGGUCGCCCGUACCGUAAACCGACACAGGUGG
rnacentral:rRNA from 1 species